rnacentral:lncRNA from 1 species
AAUGGGAAAUUAAAUCACUACUCAACACAGCACUUCAUUCAGUCACUGUAUUCAAAUUCACCACCAUCAUCAUCAUCGAAGUGACAGAUCUAGCAGCCGCUAAUUUCUUCCUUUGGUAAUUAUAAGGACCAUAGAUCUUUCUUAGAAGAUGUGGUACCUUCUCUAUCGUUUUGAGAAGGAGAUGGCGGAUCGAUUGAAUGCGAUAGUUAGCGAGACACGAAAGAGGUAGAUCUAGUGUUGUUCAUUCUUGAGAAAGUAGCGGUGGAAUCCGUCGCUCCUUCAUGGCU